UCCCACGCCCUGGGUGGCCCUUGCCUGCUACUGUACCAGCUCCAUAAAGGCGAGCAGGGAGCUGGGAGCCUCAAGGAUGCUGUGGUCGGAUCAGGUGGUGAACUGCAGUUGCUCCACCCUCCGUUGAUGUUGCUGGACAACCUAAGAAGGGGGUGGGAAGGGGACAAGGGGGCAGAGGGGCCCUGCUGCUGCUCCUUAUCUUCCUAACUCCAGGUUCCCAUGGCCCAGAUCUCACACUUUCUUCCCCAGCUGCCUAAGGGCAGGGAUGAUGCAGACCAACUGUUCCUUGAGGGUGGCAGCUAUGUCUCCCCCAUCAGGAUGCUUCCUGAGCCCUCAGGUCCUUCUCUAGCCUCCUGGGUAACCUCUGCAUAUAGAGGGUGCCUGGGCAGAGAAGUGAUUCGGGUCUCUGGCUUUCCUCUCAUCCUCAGGCUCCUCAGCUAGGAGGUGGAUGGUGAUGUGACCAUGGGUGUCCGGGGUAGAGUCGGUCAGCCAGUAAUGCUCACACAGCACCUGGGACCAGAAGGUUGGAGAGGGGAAGGGCGGCUGUGGGCCCAGCCCUAUCACUGCCGCCCCCUGCUUUACUCAGUCCCACCCCUCCCUGCCCACCUUUCUGGUCCCUGCCACCCUGCUGGGAUUCUGCUCUCUGUAAUGACCCAGCUCCAAGGCUUCCUCCUCCAGGAGCUGCUCUCCCUUGCCUGGGCUCCGGCACCCUUGCCCUCAGACCUCUCAUGACUCUCAGGAUUCUGAGUCAGCCACAAGGUUCCUGUGCCAAACAGAACAGCCCUUAUUCCGCGGCCAGCGGCCCUGGGCUCACUGCUCCAGCAAGAGGACAGACUCGGCAGCCUCUCUGCAUGUCCUAGGAAACCCUAUCUCUACUAAAAAUACAAAAAAUUAGCUGGGUGUGGUGGUGCAUGCCUGUAGUCCCAGCUACUCAGAAUGCUGAGACAGGAGAAUUGCUUGAACCUGGGAGGCAGUACUGGUCUUAAAUAGGACGUAGAUGGAGAGACUGGGGUAGAAAGUUUAUUCAAAUAAACAAUAACAGAGAACCUUCCAAACUUAGAGAAAGACAUGAAUACCUAGGAACAUGAAGAUCAAGAAUACUUAGAAUAUUCAAGCCAAAUAAAAUUACCUCAAAGUAUACAAUAAGCAAACUCUCAAAGGUCAAAGAUAAAGAAAGGAUCCUAAAAGCAGCAAGAGAAAAGAAGCAAAUAACAUAAAAAGGAGCUCCAACACACUUGGCAGCAGACUUCUCAGUGGUAACCUUACCAGCCUGAGGAAAUAGAAUGACAUUCAAAGUAUCAAAGGAAGAAAAACUUUGGACUAGAAUAUUAUACCCAGCAAAA
rnacentral:lncRNA from 1 species